AUUCGGCGUCUCUUAUCUCCUAAGCAACCUGGGGCGGGGCCAGUGGAGGGGCGGAUCCCUCCAACCUGACGGCCAAACGUUUCCUAGACGUUGUCGUUACUGAUAAGAAACUACAUUUCCCAGAAUGCAGUGAGGGUAGCGACCGGGCUACACAGUAGAAACAGGGUUUCACCAUGUUGGCCAUGCUGGUCUCGAACUCCAGAACUCAAGUGAUCCAUGCGCCUCGGUCUUCCAAACUGCUGGGAUUACAGGCAUGAGCCACCGCGCCCAGCCUUUGCGGAAGUUCUUUUUACCGUCCAUCAUCCAUUGCCACCACACCUUCUGCUUACGAGUUAUUUAUAAUAAGUUUAACUAAAAGAGAACGAGAGAACAUCCCCUGAAACCCAAAGUUUGUCAUUCUAUACAGCUUUCCUGCCGGCGAAAGAGGAGGAGCAGACUCAUCCAGCAAAUCACCUAAAAAGUUUGAAGAUCAAAAAGCCUAGCUCCAGUUUCAGAUCCUUCCCCGACCUUUCUGAACACUAGUUUCUUCCUCUGAAAAACGAAAGAGGGAACGGGACCGUAGAGUGGAGUGGGCACAAGAAUCGCAAGUCCCUUCCGGCUAUGACGCUGCAAGACUCUAGGAAAAGAAUAUGUAACACAUCAGAAUUCUUCUCUCCUCCCUGGCCUUAGUCGAGUACCUGAGGGGCAUUAAAAGACUUCCUCCUUGCAAUCACUUACCCAGCAUAGUCCUUAAUACAGUUUAAUAUGAAAUUUAAUAGCCUGGAUCAGAAAAAUGUACACAAGAAAUUUGGAUAUGGUACCAGCGAUAACGAUAAAUUUGCAUUCCUAUAGAAUCCUUUCUCUUCAAGACUAUAACUUUAUCAGAUUCCUGAAGAGAUUGCCAAGAACUGAACAGGGCAGCAAACCUAAAACAGAUGUAAACCAACCAGAUGCAAACGUCUGUGGGGGCAAACCUCUUUGCCAUCUCCUUUCCCUUCCUGUCUUGAUCUGUGCUCAAUUCCUGGAAAAGCCCCUACUCAGGAUCUCCUAAAGUCUCCAGUAGCAUGUUUUCC